GCAAUGGUGGCUCACUGAUAGAACUCUCGCCUUCCAUGCAGGACCCAGGUUCGAUUCCUGGCCAAUGCA
rnacentral:tRNA from 1 species